rnacentral:rRNA from 1 species
CCUACGGGCGGCAGCAGUGAGGAAUAUUGGUCAAUGGGCGGGAGCCUGAACCAGCCAAGCCGCGUGAAGGAAGAAGGCGCCAAGCGUCGUAAACUUCUUUUGUCGGGGAACAAAGGGCGCCACGUGUGGCGUUGUGAGUGUACCCGAAGAAAAAGCAUCGGCUAACUCCGUGCCAGCAGCCGCGGUAAUACGGAGGAUGCGAGCGUUAUCCGGAUUUAUUGGGUUUAAAGGGUGCGUAGGCGGUCCGGAAAGUCAGCGGUAAAAGCCCGGGGCUCAACCCCGGCGAGCCGUUGAAACUGUCGGACUAGAGACGGCGAGAAGUACGCGGAAUGCGCGGUGUAGCGGUGAAAUGCGUAGAUAUUAGGAGGAACACCGGUGGCGAAGGCGGCCUGCUGGACUGUGACUGACGUUGAGGCCCGAAGGCGUGGGGAGCAAACAGGAUUAGAUACCCCAGUAGUC